GAUGAACGCUGGCGGCGUGCCUAAUACAUGCAAGUAGAACGCUGAAGGAAGGAGCUUGCUCUUUCCGGAUGGGUUGCGAACGGGUGAGUAACGCGUAGGUAACCUGCCUGGUAGCGGGGGAUAACUAUUGGAAACGAUAGCUAAUACCGCAUAACAGUAGAUGUUGCAUGAUAUCUACUUAAAAGGUGCAAUUGCACCACUACCAGAUGGACCUGCGUUGUAUUAGCUAGUUGGUGAGGUAACGGCUCACCAAGGCGACGAUACAUAGCCGACCUGAGAGGGUGAUCGGCCACACUGGGACUGAGACACGGCCCAGACUCCUACGGGAGGCAGCAGUAGGGAAUCUUCGGCAAGGGACGGAAGUCUGACCGAGCAACGCCGCGUGAGUGAAGAAGGUUUUCGGAUCGUAAAGCUCUGUUGUAAGAGAAGAACGAGUGUGAGAGUGGAAAGUUCACACUGUGACGGUAGCUUACCAGAAAGGGACGGCUAACUACGUG
rnacentral:rRNA from 1 species